GUUUAAGAUCCAUCAGCUGUGCUGUUCCCUCUCAUGGCUUCAAACCAGGUCUGCCCCCAAAUGCACAGCCUUGAUGCCACUUCACAAGGAUUUGGCUCCUGCAGUCAGCAGACAUGCAGAAGGAACAUCACCUGGCCCUGGGAGGUGAAGCUCUAACCCGUGCAAGAUUGCCCUGGACACAGGAGACCUGUGCCUCUUGUGUGAGGAGCUGUUUCACCUGUCUCUGAUGUUGGUGAGGACAAGGCCUUCCUAAUUGCAGGCUUUCAAAAUGCUUCUCCUUGCAAGGUGCAGUGGAGCUGGGACGUGGUGCAGUUGGGGGGCAGUGCUGCCAGCAGAAGGAAAGGACUGUGCUGUUCUGCAGCCCUGCUGGGUGAGUCCAACACUGAACUGUGUGAUGUCUGACUGGGAAAUGUUUGUAGCCACUGAUGAGAUUGAUUCUGCCAGAUGAAUUCCUGUGAUUUUACCCUUUCCGUUCCACUUUGUGCUGAGGUUACACAGCUGCUGUGGAGCCUGUGUCACUCGUGCUGCUGCAUCUGCUAAGUGUGUUUUCUUCUGGCUUUAGGUGAGCAAGCAGCUCUGCAGCUACUGUAUGAGGAGCUGAGAAGGUGAGUGCAAGUGCAGUAAUUAAGAUAUUUUUUUUGCUGGAACAAGUGAUGAUAACCUUAGCUUGAACUCUCUCACUGAACAGAGAUGAAAUUCUAAGGGCUGAGAUGUUCCCAGCAAGUGUCUUGUGCCGAUUUGGUGUCUUAAAGUGGUUCUUAUGUCUGUCCUAAUUAGGUGGAGGAUUGCAGUGUAAUGGCCAUGAACAGCAUUAAAGCAGCCCCAGUGGUUUUUACCCCACUGGUCAUGUUUGCCUGACCCUGGUUGGAACCAAUAAAAACCUGCAAACUCU